CCUACGGGAGACAGCAGAGGGGAAUAUUGCACAAUGGGGGAAACCCUGAUGCAGCGACGCCGCGUGAGUGAAGAAGUACUUCGGUAUGUAAAGCUCUAUCAGCAGGGAAGAAAAUGCCGGUACCUGAUCAAGAAGCCCCGGCUAACUACGUGCCAGCAGCCGCGGUCAUACGUAGGGGGCAAGCGUUAUCCGGAUUUACUGGGUGUAAAGGGAGCGUAGACGGCAGCACAAGUCUGGCGUGAAAUGCCGGGGCUGAACCCCGGAACUGCUUUGGAAACGGUGCAGCUAGAGUGCAGGAGAGGUAAGUGGAAUUCCGAGUGUAGCGGUGAAAUGCGUAGAUAUUAGGAGGAACACCAGUGGCGAAGGCGGCUUACUGGACUGUAACUGACGUUGAGGCUCGAAAGCGUGGGUAGCAAACAGGAUUAGAUACCCGAGUAGUC
rnacentral:rRNA from 1 species